rnacentral:rRNA from 1 species
CCUACGGGGGGCAGCAGUGAGGAAUAUUGGUCAAUGGCCGUAAGGCUGAACCAGCCAAGUCGCGUGAAGGAAGAAGGAUCUAUGGUUUGUAAACUUCUUUUAUAGGGGAAUAAAGGUAUCCACGUGUGGAUUUUUGCAUGUACCCUCUGAAUAAGCAUCGGCUAACUCCGUGACAACAGCCGCGGUAAUACGGGGGAUGCGAGCGUUAUCCGGAUUUAUUGGGUUUAAAGGGUGUGUAGGGUGUUUUUUAAGUCAGCGGUGAAAGUUUGUGGCUCAACCAUAGAAUUGCAGUUGAAACUGGAAGACUUGAGUGUGUUUGAGGUAGGCGGAAUGCGUGGUGUAGCGGUGAAAUGCAUAGAUAUCACGCAGAACUCCGAUUGCGAAGGCAGCUUACUAAGCCAUAACUGACACUGAAGGACGAAAGCGUGGGGAUCAAACAGGAUUAGAUACCCUUGUAGUC